rnacentral:lncRNA from 1 species
CCUGUUCCUAGGUGCUGGGCUGCUAGCAGGGCUCUGCUGACUCCCCUAAGCCUGCUGGGGCUACCAGCUGCCUAUCCAGCCACCUAGCAUGGGUUUUAGGUGGGGGAGAACUUAUGGUGCUACCAAUGCCACCUCUCCCAGCUCUCCUGAAGCACAGAGCACCCUUUAGAGGCCGGAAGCUGGUACUCUGUCAGGACCCGUAGACUCUCGAAGUGCCUGUUAAAAAGUCUCUGGGGCACAGGGCCAUCCUACGCUAUCUGGAAGCCAGACUUAAACGAAGCCGUCCCUAGACCUCACUAACUGUGUGUGGCCCAGCUCACCAACCGAGCAUUGAGAAUUUGAGGCCUCACUGUGAGAGACAGAGCUGAAGACAUCUCAGGAGCCAAG